ensembl:lncRNA
UAUUGGUCGUCAUGAAAAAAAACAUAAGGGGUAUCACUGUAUUUUUUUAUCGGUCGUCUUGAAAAAAACAUAAGGGGGGUAUCACUGUAUUUUUUUAUCGGUCGUCUUGUAAAAAACAUAAGGGGUAACACUGUUGUUUUUUAUUGGUCGUCAUGAAAAAAAACAUAAGGGGUAACACUGUUGUUUUUUAUUGGUCGUCAUGAAAAAAAACAUAAGGGGUAUCACUGUCGUUUUUUAUCGGUCGUCUUGAAAAAAAACAUAAGGGGUAACACUGUCUUUUUUUAUCGGUCGUCUUGAAAAAAACAUAAGGGGUAACACUGUCGUUUUUUAUCGGUCGUCAUGAAAAAAAACAUAAGGGGUAACGCUGUUGUUUUUUAUUGGUCGUCAUGAAAAAAAACACAAGGGGUAACACUGUCGUAUUUUAUUGGUCGUCAUGAAAAAAAACAUAAGGGGUAACGCUGUCGUUUUUUAUCGGUCGUCAUGAAAAAAAACAUGAGGGGUAACGCUGUUGUUUUUAUCGGUCGUCUUGAAAAAAAAACAAGGGGUAACACUGUCGUUUUUUAUCGGUCGUCUUGAAAAAACAUAAGGGGUAUCACUGUCGUUUUUUAUCGGUCGUCAUGAAAAAAAACAUAAGGAUAACGCUGUUGUUUUUUAUUGGUCGUCAUGAAAAAAAACACAAGGGGUAACACUGUUGUUUUUAUCGGUCGUCAUGAACAAAAACAUAAGGGGUAACACUGUCGUAUUUUAUUGGUCGUCAUGAAAAAAAACAUAAGGGAAAUAAUAGAAAUACACACCUACAUUUUAAUGUCAUGUAUAUCCUCUUUAUUGAUGAUUGGUCGUCAUGAAAAAAAACAUAAGGGCUAACGCUGUCGUUUUUUAUCGGCCGUCAUGAAAAAAAACAUUAGGGGUAUCACUGUAUUUUUUUAUCGGUCGUCUUGUAAAAAACAUAAGGGGUAACACUGUUGUUUUUUAUUGGUCGUCAUGAAAAAAAACAUAAGGGGUAACACUGUUGUUUUUUAUUGGUCGUCAUGAAAAAAAACAUAAGGGGUAUCACUGUCGUUUUUAUCGGUCGUCUUGAAAAAAACAUAAGGGGUAACACUGUCGUUUUUUAUCGGUCGUCAUGAAAAAAAACAUAAGGGGUAACGCUGUUGUUUUUUAUUGGUCGUCAUGAAAAAAACCAUAAGGGGUAACACUGUUGUUUUUAUCGGUCGUCAUGAAAAAAAACAUAAGGGG